UACGUAGGAGACGAGCGUUGUCCGGAGUUACUGGGCGUAAAGGGUGCGCAGGUGGCGGCGCGCGUGGGGGGUGAAAUCGCCUGGCUUAACUGGGCGGGGGCCUUCCAGACGGCGUGGCUUGAGCAGCGGAGGGGGACGUGGAAUUCCGGGUGGAGCGGUGAAAUGCGUGGAGAUCCGGAGGAACACCGACGGCGCAGGCAGCGUCCUGGCCGCUUGCUGACACUGAGGCACGAAAGCUGGGGGAGCAAACGGGG
rnacentral:rRNA from 1 species